UACGUAGGUGGCAAGCGUUGUCCGGAUUUACUGGGCGUAAAGGGCGUGCAGGCGGUCUGUUAAGUUCAGGGUGAAAGCUCCCGGCUCAACUGGGAGAGGUCCUUGGAUACUGGCAGACUUGAGGAGGGUAGAGGAGAGUGGAAUCCCGGUGUAGUGGUGAUAUGCGUAGAUAUCGGGAGGAACACCAGUGGCGAAGGCGGGUCUCUGGACAGUUCCUGACGCUGAGGCACGAAGGUCAGGGGAGCAAACGGG
rnacentral:rRNA from 1 species